rnacentral:rRNA from 1 species
AUGCACGCUGGCGGCGUGCCUCAUACAUGCACGUCGAGCGCACGGACGAGAAGCUUGCUUCUCUGAUGUUAGCGGCGGACGGGUGAGUAACACGUGGAUAACCUACCUAUAAGACUGGGAUAACUUCGGGAAACCGUAGCUAAUACCGGAUAAUAUUUUGAACCGCAUGGUUCAAAAGUGAAAGACGGUCUUGCUGUCACUUAUAGAUGGAUCCGCGCUGCAUUAGCUAGUUGGUAAGGUAACGGCUUACCAAGGCAACGAUGCAUAGCCGACCUGAGAGGGUGAUCGGCCACACUGGAACUGAGACACGGUCCAGACUCCUACGGGAGGCAGCAGUAGGGAAUCUUCCGCAAUGGGCGAAAGCCUGACGGAGCAACGCCGCGUGAGUGAUGAAGGUCUUCGGAUCGUAAAACUCUGUUAUUAGGGAAGAACAUAUGUGUAAGUAACUGUGCACAUCUUGACGGUACCUAAUCAGAAAGCCACGGCUAACUACGUG